GGCAACUUGGCCGAGCGGUUAAGGCGCUAGUUUCAGGUCAUCAUGUGACUACUAGUUCGAAAGAGCGAGAGUUCGAAUCUCUCAGUUGUCA
rfam:Pseudogymnoascus sp. 23342-1-I1 unplaced genomic scaffold scaffold_41, whole genome shotgun sequence.